GACGAACGCUGGCGGCGCGCUUAACACAUGCAAGUCGAACGGAAAGGCCUGCUUUCCCUUGUGGAUUGCGGGUACUCGAGUGACGAACGGGUGAGUAACACGUGAGUGAUCUGCCCCCAACUUGGGUAUAAGCCUGGGAAACUGGGUCUAAUUCCCGAUAGGACUGCAGGGUGGUGCCUGUGGUGGAAAACGAUUUUCUAGUGGUUGGGGAUGAGCUCGCGGCCUAUCAGCUUGUUGGUGGGGUAAUGGCCUACCAAGGCGGCGACGGGUAGCCGGCCUGGGAGGGUGGACGGCCACAUUGGGACUGAGAUACGGCCCAGACUCCUACGGGAGGCAGCAGUGGGGAAUAUUGCACAAUGGGCGGAAGCCUGAUGCAGCGACGCCGCGUGGGGGAUGACGGCCUUCGGGUUGUAAACUCCUUUCGACCGCGAGGAAGCCACCUGGUUGGAAGGGUGGUGACGGUAGUGGUAGAAGAAGCACCGGCUAACUACGU
rnacentral:rRNA from 1 species